UGGGGAAUAUUGCACAAUGGGGGAAACCCUGAUGCAGCAACGCCGCGUGCGGGAUGACGGCCUUCGGGUUGUAAACCGCUUUCAGCCAUGACGAAGCUUUUGUGACGGUAGUGGCAGAAGAAGCACCGGCUAACUACGUGCCAGCAGCCGCGGUGAUACGUAGGGUGCGAGCGUUGUCCGGAAUUAUUGGGCGUAAAGAGCUUGUAGGCGGUUUGUCGCGUCGAAAGUGUAAGCUCAGUGCUUAACGCUGAGCCUGCUUUCGAUACGGGCUGACUGGAGGAAGGUAGGGGAGAAUGGAAUUCCCGGUGGGGCGGUGGAAUGCGCAGAUAUCGGGAGGAACACCAGUGGCGAAGGCGGUUCUCUGGACCUUUCCUGACGCUGAGAAGCGAAAGCGUGGGUAGCAAACAGG
rnacentral:rRNA from 1 species